AGAAGGGACUGGAUGAGAUUUGUUUUUAACCCUCUGGGCUGAAGAUGUGUCAGGAACAGGGGGUGUUUUGAAUACAAGUAAAUGUUAGAACACAAUAUUUGACCUAUCUAUCAUACAGCACAUUUCAGAGAAGGACUGUAUUUCUGCACUGAAGCCAACUCUUCACAGGCAAGUCAUUUGAAUUCCUCCAUGUUUGCUUCCUCCAGCCUCCAGGAAAUGAAAUCUAACUUAAAAAAAUAUCAUUUUUGAUGAGGGUUUCAACUGAAGAGUAAAGACUGAAGUGCCAGUCCCUGCAGAGCACUGUCAGAUUUUUCCCAUGUUGAGUAAUUCUGGUUCCUAAUGGAGUUCACACUAAGUUACCUACCCCAAAACAUCUGUGAUUUAAACUGUUUGAUGGAAUAUAUCUCAUUGAAAACCAGUGGGACACUGAAUUAUUUGACUCCCCUGAGCUCUGCCCUAGUGGAGCACUGUCAGUGUCCAAACCUCCUCCCACACACUUCCCAACGAUUCAGAAAGUGGGUCAUUAACACGUUUUGUCAUUUGAUGCAAUUUCUCCCUUCCCUCUAAACUGGGCUUUUUUCCAGGUCCAGUAGCCAACAAUAAAUCAAUCACAGUCUCUCACAAGCCUUUUGACUCAAAUUCUAUCCUGUAGGUUGGGCUGAAACCAGAGCAGAAAUCACUGCAGGAGGUGGGGCAGGACAGGGCUAGUGGUGACUGCCACCGAGGAGGUGUUUGCUUGACCCACUGCUGCUCUUGCUGCCGUUCUUUGUGGACUCCUCCUCAGUAUCUGUGACAGAAUCUUCCUCCUCUUCAUCACUCCGAUCAUCUUUCAAGUCCUAGGGAGAAGAAAGCACUUGCAACAAGCUCACACGAGCAGCACCUGCCUGCCUGGAAGACUUUCCAUGCCAAUGGAUGACCUUCUCUGCAGACUCAGGGCAGGAUGCUCUAGUUAAAGAUAGACAUCAAGAAAACACUUCCUACUUCCUAAAUGUUCUCAGGCACCACUUUUUAUGUCUUUUUGUACCACAGGGUGCUUGUCCUGAGGGAGACCUGAGGCUUCUCCUCCUGACAGAGCACGUGUGCUGGAGCUGGCAGGAAUGUCAGUCCUUGCACAGACAACCCACAGCCACACUGGGACCACCCCAUAAUGGAUAAUUUUGUGCUCAUGUCAUCUGUCUGGACCUCAACUGGACAGGCAGAGUCUGCCUGUUGUCCCUGCUCCUGGAGCACUGUGACGCAGGAAGGAGAAACCAGGGCUGUUCCUGCCCAUCCUGCAUCUGCUCUCGGAGUGAACCAACAAUUCCACUUCCUCAGCAUGCUGGUCUGAGGUCUUUCCUAAGCACCAAACUCAUACAGAGAAAAUAAAUAACAGCUCAGUAAUAACUCAUCCAAUUGCAAUCUCAUAUCCCCUCCUAUAUUACACUCCCAGUAAAAGGUACAGGGCUAGAAAGCAAAUUAAAGCCCGAGCUCUGUCUCAUCACAAACUAUAAACUUCCUGGAGAUUUUCUUCUGCCUUUUCCCUAACAACAUACAAAGGGUAUCAAAACAAACAAAUCUUACUGUAAAUACUGUAAAAUAAACUUGGCAUGCCAUCAGUUAGAGAAAAGGCAAGGCAGGCUUUCCCACACAAACAAUUUAUGAGGUUCUGGCUCUUUCAGAUCACCUCGCUCCCUCCUGGUAGUGUUGCCGUCUGUAUUUGCAGUAAAACACAAAUGCUGAGGGGGAAGGGGGAGGAUUGUUGCUUUUUUUGCCACCAGAAAUGUUUCAGAACAAAAA